CAUAUUUUAAAAUUAAUAUCAUAGACUACAAAAUUGACCCUCCCCCCAUUUUCGAGCUAUCAAUAAAGUAUCUAAAGUGUAUCCAGGAAGAAUCUAGAUUAUUUUAAAAUUUAAAAAAAAUAAGCUAAUACAAGUACCGGACAUAUAUUUGAGAAGUAUUUGAUGAGUAUCAACAUCCGAUAUGGAUACAAUACGGACAAAACAUGCAAUUUUAAGUAUCCUAUUAUGAUGCCUCUAAAACAAAUAGAAUAGGAUCCAUAAAGCUUGCUUGUAACAAAUUCAUGAGAAUCUAGAUUAUGGUGCAUUAGCCAAUAAUAAAAAAAACAUAUAUUGGUUUUAGUUGGUUACUUUAUUUUAAGCCUCUUCUUCUAAUUGUAUGCGUAUUUUCCCUUGCCCAAUUGGGCCACUGAACAUUUCUCUCCCACAAUUAUCAUAAGAACAUCAGUUACAGAAGAUAUGGAUAUGAGAUAAGGAGAUACUACACAAUAUAGAUACAUGGACAUAGCAAACCUUGAAAAAGUAGGAUAUGAUACGGCUAAGAUACAUAAAUACAUCUGUAUAAACAUACAUAUAAAUAUGCACAUAGAUGUACAUAUGUAUCCAUACAUGGUAGGCUAUCAAAAAACAUAGCCCAUGCUUUAUAUGGUAUCAUUAGCUUGAAGAAGCUCACCAUUUAAUCAUGAUUCCAUAUCCAUACUUCAUAUUUUAAAAUUAAUAGCAUAGACUACAAAAUUGGCCCUCCCCCCAUUUUCGAGCUAUCAAGAAAGUAUCUAAAGUGUAUCCAGGAAUAAUCUAGAUUAUUUAAAAUUUUGAAAAAUAAGAUAAUACAAGCACUGGACAUGUAUUUGAGAAGUAUUUGACGAGUAUCAAUAUCCGAGAUGGAUACAAUAUGGACACCACAUGUGAUUUUAAGAAUCCUGUUGGUUUGAAUACUCAGAGCCACAACGUUGGGAGGAUCCCGACAAUCUUAUUCAACUUAAGUCCGACACACGCCUACAUUACUGAAUCUACUUGGACACCAAUCAACUAAUACCUGUGCCUUUAUUGAAGACCGAGGAAGGUAAGAAAUAUCAAACUCACUAAGUUCUAUCGCCCAUUUUGCCAUUCUGCCAGAGGUGCCUGGUCGUUGCAAUAGGGCUUUCAAGGGUAGAUCAUAUCCUAUUAUGAUGCCUCUAAAACAAAUAGAAUAGGAUCCAUAAAGCUUGCUUAUAACAAAUUCAUAAGAAUCUAGAUUAUGGUGCAUUAGCUAGCAAUAAAAGAAAUAC
rnacentral:lncRNA from 1 species